CAAUUACGUCGUGAUAACGUAAUUGCUUGUGAUCCUGCCUCACAUCAUCUCUCCCCAGAGCAUCAUUGAUGUCUAGUGGCAAAAAAAGUCAGAAGGACUGGAGAUGGUAUGGGAUGUAGUAGAUGACCGUGACUUCUUCA
rnacentral:lncRNA from 1 species